CCUACCUAUUGCAUAACCUAUAUCAGGAUGGAUUCUAUUUGCUACAUAUAAUAGUGAUCCUAUCCUCUGAGAAUACUUUAACUAUCUUACAGGUUCUCCUAAAUUCUUAGUUAAAUGUGAACUAUGAUCAUAUGGGAUAGAGACAAGAUUUAGAUCAAAAUAUUCAAACUUUUAAAGUAUUUUUUCUAUUGAAUGUGUUAGGUUUAUGGCUAUUUCGUUAUUUAUUCUUUUAAGUUUUAUUUUU
rnacentral:lncRNA from 1 species